UGUGUUUACAGUAUUGGAGGGAUUCACAUCGUUAUUUUCUGGAUUAAGCUGCUAGGAGUAUCAUGUACUUAGAAAUUCAGUGUUUAUAGUAAGAUGUAUUAAACAUUGCUAAUGAUGUAUGGUUACAAUGUAUAACAGGUUUUCCAUUGUCAUAACUGUAUGGAAUUUUCUUGGAGGAUGUCAUUAGCUUCUGUUUGCACUGACUUGUGAGCUGUGUGUACGCUGUGGUCAGAUUUCUGAAUGCUGUAGAGCACUUACCAGCUCUGACCAUGUCUUGCUGGGGCCAGCAGGCUGCGUGUGCAGCGGGGCCAGCUGUCUCAGGGCUGAUAUGUAGACGUGUAUUCUGUUUACAAUUAGUUCCCCAACUCUGUGGGGAAGAACUUAAGCGGUUUUAGUGUUUUACAAUAUGGUGAGGCAAUGAGGGUCAGGGCGCAUGGUCCCUGAGGGAGGGUCUUCAGGGCAAGACCCAUGGCCCUGGCCUGGAACUGUGCUCCCCAGGGCGUGGUGCCUCCCUAAGGGGAUGGUCAGUGUUCCUGGGACUGACUGCCAGGCCAGCCCUUCUGCAGACUCCUGUGGUGGGAGUUCCCUGGGACGGGAAGCCCCUCGGCCCCUUCCCUCCAGGGGCAGGAACUGAGCCAGCAUGGGCGGGGCCGGCCGAGCUUCCAGGCGUGUUUUCUCUGUUAAAUGUACCUGUCUUUAAGCUGUCUCAUUUUCUAAUCGCUGGCAUGUCUUGCCUAGAAAAGCAUUUGGAAUUGCUUAUGUUCAAUUACAGAAAUAAAAUGUCUUACUUGCCAUUGUAGAAUCCCUGCA
rnacentral:sRNA from 1 species